UGCAGAAGUAGCAGAUGACCCAGGCCAGCAGCAGGCACAGCGCCAGGUCCCAGUGCACCUUGCCGAGGGACAUGGAGUCCGACAUCCUCAACACACGAUUUCUGUGCGGCGGCAAGAGGACAGGACUGCAUGAAUCCACUGUGAAAUGCAGAAGAUCACAACAUGGAUGAGAUAGCGGACUACUUGAGGACACAGCACGCCAAUGGAAGAGGACAAGAUGUCUGACGAGCAUCUGAAAGAAUAUCUUACCAUCCUGCGCCGAUUGGGUGGCUGUUUUUGGAUACUGCAGAUGAAAUGGAAAAUAAUCCGGCAGUAGGAAGUCCAAGGUUUUUGAAAGCUCCCAAGAAAUAAAGUGGGUCAUGUCACAUCUGAGAAAAAGCAUCAUGCCCUUCCCAAGAAGGCUCAGAAGAAUCAAAGAACUGAGAUGGGAUGCUUGCGUUUUAGAGAAGGGACAUUUGUGCAGGUACCAUAAAAGUAGGUGGAUCCAGAAAAGUUGACUGUCCAGAAGGAUUUUUGAAAAACAGAACUUGACUGAAAUGGCUCUGUAUAUACAGUAGCUCCAAAUAUAUGAAGUAUGCAAACAUUUCUGAAAUAUAAAAUGUGAGUAUAAUAUCAAAGAAAUAUAAAACUAGUUCAUUGUUUAUCAGUUCUGUGAUCUUAAUAUAGAGGUCACCUGUUUCACAUACACAUCAUUUAUCUUGAGAUUGCUCCCUGACAUCAAGUCCACACAGACAUCAAACACAUCAUCAUCACAUGGGAAGUCUUUGCUCUCUUCAACGCAGACAGGGUGCAUAUCGUCUUUGCCUCCAUAUACAGUAGAUGUGGGACUGCAUGCAAAAUGGAGGGACGUCCGUAAGGUGAUUGUGAGUUGUGGACUUGGGAAGCUGGUGUUCUGCCAGUGGAAGCUGCUUUGCAAUAGCGCUGUUAGUUUCGUUAAUGUAAGAAAGAGUGCAUUGCAUUGCAAGACAGACAGAAUACACCGCCUGUGGUAAUGAUUUACACUUGGAAUUGUAGUAAAUGGUCCGAAGCAACGUCAUGUCAUUUGUCAUUUCCAACGAGGAACACGGACAGAAAGUGACGCUCACUGUUUACAAUUUGUUGUGUUUCCGGACCGCAAAGUAAAAGUAAUUGGACAUGCUAGCUAGCAGCGAGCCCGACAUAUACGGUUUGGUCACGGCGUACAGUGAUCUAUUUUAUUGAUUUAAAAAAAGUGCAACAUUCCGCCAUCCUUCGUCAUUAUCUGACUCAACGAAUACAUUGUGCUACUGACCAUGUGCAAAGCAGAACAUAGUUCAGCACACGCGGUCCUCCUUGUAUUUAAACUAACCCACGUCACCAAGACCGGCGAUAGCAAUGCACCCCAAUGUAGUGUGAAAUACCUCACAUAGUGUAUCUGAUUGAUAAUAGCUCCAUAGUGCUCAUGUAUAGUACUACACCAGAAGACUAAACAACUCAUUACACAUGAAGCAAACAUCCAACAUUUACAAAACACUCAGGAUACCCAUCUUGCUUACAAUGUGGAGCCAUUUUUGCUACGUGAAGAAGGCGGCACC